rnacentral:rRNA from 1 species
CUACGGGAUGCAGCAGUGAGGAAUUUUGCGCAAUGGGGGGAACCCUGACGCAGCAACGCCGCGUGAGUGAUGAAGGCUUUCGGGUCGUAAAGCUCUGUCAAGUGGGAAGAACCUAUGCAGUGUUAAUAUCACUGUAUACUGACGGUACCACUGAAGGAAGCACCGGCUAACUCCGUGCCAGCAGCCGCGGUAAUACGGGGGGUGCAAGCGUUAUUCGGAAUCAUUGGGCGUAAAGGGCACGUAGGCGGCUUGGUAAGUCAGAUGUGAAAGCCCGGGGCUUAACCCCGGAAGUGCAUUUGAUACUGUCAGGCUUGAGUAUGGGAGAGGGAAGUGGAAUUCCUGGAGUAGAGGUGAAAUUCGUAGAUAUCAGGAGGAACACCGGUGGCGAAGGCGACUUCCUGGACCAAUACUGACGCUGAGGUGCGAAGGCGUGGGUAGCAAACAGGAUUAGAUACCCGCGUAGUC